UGAGCCCUAUUAACAACAUCUGAAUACAAACACAGUUUAUGAGAGAUAAGAUAUUGACGUAUCUCGGGUUUCAAACCUCUUAGAAACAUUCGCGUCAUUCUCUCCUCAUUAUCAACCAAAUGGGACGCAAACCGGGAUAACUCAGCAAACUUGGCUUCAUACUGCGACACGGUCAUGUUGUUUUGCUCCAGCUUGAUGAACUCUAC
rnacentral:lncRNA from 1 species